GUUUUACCGGCCCGGGAGAAGCUUAGGUCCGAAGAGGGAGGGGUGGAGUAAAUAUGAGAAGGAAGUGGCGAGGAGGCCGCGGUGGAGUCUCGGCGCUUGACCAGCAGGGCUCAUGGACGCGGGGAGGCGGUCUGUUUGCGCAGACAUUGCUCUUGCCGCGCGCGGCUCCCCAGGCCCUGACACGGGCCUCGGCUCCGGGAGGAAGAGGAGCCCGCCUGGGCGACGAAGAGAGCGGGCCGCCCCGCAGCCCGAGCCGGAGAGGGAGCGCGAGCCGCGCCGGCCCCGGCCGGGCCUCCGAAACCAUGAACUUUCUGCUC
rnacentral:other from 1 species